UCCUACGGGGGGCAGCAGUAGGGAAUUUUCGUCAAUGGGCGCAAGCCUGAACGAGCAAUGCCGCGUGAACGAGGAAGGUCUUCGGAUCGUAAAGUUCUGUUGAAGGGGAAAAAGAGCGGAGAGAGGAAAUGGUCUCCGAUUGGUAUUACCCUUCGAGGAAGUCACGGCUAACUACGUGCCAGCAGCCGCGGUAAUACGUAGGUGGCGAGCGUUAUCCGGAAUGAUUGGGCGUAAAGGGUGCGUAGGCGGCCUGCUAAGUCUGGAGUGAAAGGUACCGGCUCAACCGGUACAGGCUCUGGAAACUG
rnacentral:rRNA from 1 species